rnacentral:rRNA from 1 species
AGCUCACAUUUGAAAUCUGGCGUCCUCAGGGCGUCCGAGUUGUAAUCUAUAGAGGCGUUUUCCGUGCCGGACCGUGUCCAAGUUCCUUGGAACAGGAUAUCAAAGAGGGUGACAAUCCCGUACUUGACACGAUGACCGGUGCUCUGUGAUACGUCUUCUACGAGUCGAGUUGUUUGGGAAUGCAGCUCAAAAUGGGUGGUGAGUUCCAUCUAAAGCUAAAUAUUGGCGAGAGACCGAUAGCGAACAAGUACCGUGAGGGAAAGAUGAAAAGCACUUUGGAAAGAGAGUUAAACAGUACGUGAAAUUGUUGAAAGGGAAACGAUUGAAGUCAGUCGUGACUGAGAGGCUCAGCCGGUUCUGCCGGUGUAUUCCCCUCAGUCGGGUCAACAUCAGUUUUGUCCGGUGGAAAAGGGCGGUAGGAACGUGGCACCUCCGGGUGUGUUAUAGCCUGCCGUCGCAUACAUCGGGUGAGACUGAGGAAUGCAGCUCGCCUUUAUGGCCGGGGUUCGCCCACGUCCGAGCUUAGGAUGUUGACAUAAUGGCUUUAAACGAC